rnacentral:rRNA from 1 species
GACGAACGCUGGCGGCGUGCUUAACACAUGCAAGUCGAACGGAAAGGCCCGGCGUUUGUGGGGUGCUCGUUUGGCGAACGGGGGAGUAACACGUGAGUAACCUGCCCUUGACUUUGGGAUAACUUCAGGAAACUGGGUCUAAUACCGGAGAGGAUCUCCUGCUGCAUGGGGGGGGUUGGAAAGUGUCGGCGGUUGGGGCUGGACUCGCUGCUUAUCAGCUUGUUUGUGUGGUAGUGGCUGACCAAGGCUUUGACGGGUAGCCGGCCUGAGAGGGUGACCGGCCACCUUGGGCCUGCGAGACGGCCCAGUCUCCUACGGGAGGCAGCAGUGGGGAAUAUUGCAGAAUGGGCGGACGCCUGAUGCGGCAACGCCGCGUGCGUGAUGACGGCCUUCGGGUUGUAAACCGCUUUCGCCUGUGCCGAAGCGUGCGUGACGGUAAUGGGUAAAGAAGCCCCGGCUAACUACGUG